rnacentral:lncRNA from 1 species
GGCCAAAAGCUGAGGUUCCUAUUUGUCUGUUUCAAGGCUCAUCAGAGUGCGCUCUUUAGUUACCAUGGAAACUCUCUCCAGUGAAGUUUGAGAGCUGCUGGGAGUGCAGGGAAAUGGCAAGCAUCGAGGGAGGAAUUUGGCCGCAUUCCCCUGGAGGGUGCUGUAUUUGCCGAGCUUGGGAGCACUCAUGGAUUAUCCUCCCAGACCAGGUAAUUCCGGCCAGUCGGCAUCCAAUUUCUGAUGAAUUUCCAGCCAAGCAGGAGACAGCAGCAGAAUUUCUGACCACUCAUCGUCCAGUGGCAGGAAGGUCAGGAGGAAUUUAAGGGAGGAACAGAAGCAGGACUGUGGCGAGAUCUCGUUCCUCUCUGACCAGGUCUGCUCUCCUUCCAGUCACCCCCUGCUGCAGUUCAGACACACCCACCUCUUUCCCCCACUACCUUGGUUUAAUAGUGGGGUGCCUAGGAUAACUGUCCAAGUGAAUUGCUGGUUCUGAACGAUUGCCGUGUGCAAAAUCCAAAGAUCCAUCCUACAUGAUUCACUGACACUGCCUACCCCCAUUUGACAUUACGCCCAGUCGCUGCAGGAAAUUCCCUUCCCUCUCUGAACCAGAACAGACUCUGUACCUGUAUAGAUCAGGUAGAGAUUUUAGGUGAUUUAGACAACUUCUUCUUUCCUGCUCCAACUCCAGGCUGCUUUUACCUCAUUCAGCUACUCUCUGGUCCCUCCCCUAACAUGAUCUGGAAGACACCUUCUCCGCUCCAUCCCAAAGCAGUGCAGAAUCGCGGGGUGGUAGAAGACACUGGCUAAAUCUGCCUAAAAUCUCUGCUCCUUCUCCCCCAUCUGGAUUCUGUGCUGCUGUCGGCUGAAGAAACUCCCAAUCCUUGAGGGUGGAGAAGAAGGAGGAGGAGGAGGUGAUCGUUACGAAUGCCGGCUAAAGCUAGGAUCUUAGCUCCACCACCUGCUAAGAUUUGGGGAUUAAAAAGUCGUGCCUCAAUUUUCAAGCAAUUAAGUGAACUUUUUGAAAUGAUUGAAGAUCCUGAAAGAUAG